rnacentral:ncRNA from 1 species
GGGCGUAUGGUGGAUGCCUUGGCUCUUUGAAGGCGAUGAAGGACGUAGCUUGGUUGCGAUAAGCUUCGGGGAGGUGCCUAGCAACCUUUGAUCCGAAGAUCUCCGAAUGAGGAAACUCGAUUCCGUAAAACGGAAUCAUUUUGGGCGCAAGCUCAUUAUGCAAACCCAGGGAAGUAAAACAUUUCAGUACCUGGUGGAAAAUAGACCAAUAGGAAUUUCCUUAGUAGCGGCGAGCGAAAAGGAAAGAGCCCAAACCGUUUAUGCGCAAGCAAAAGCGGGGUUGUAAGACGAUAACUUCUCAUUUCGAUGAGAGAAGAGUUACAAAAUGUUUUGUUAGUAGAAUCCUCUGGAAAGAGGAGCCCUAGAAGGUGAUAGCCCUUUAUACGAAAAUAAAACAUCUCUUUCGUUAUUGUUCUUGAGUAACUCAGGACACGAAAAGCUUGAGUGAAUCUGCCGGAACUAACCGGUAAGGCUAAAUACUUCAAGAGACCGAUAGUGAACUAGUACCGUGAGGGAAAGGUGAAAAGUAGCCCGGUAAGGGCGGUGAAAUAGACCUGAAACCAUAUGCCUACAAGGAGUCGGAGCGGGCAGCACACAGAGUGUGCUGCAAGUUAAAAGUAAAAAGUUAUAAAGUUUAUAAAGUGAAUGCAUUUUGUAUUUUCUUUUAACUUUAAACUUUCAACUUUAUAACUUGCACGCAAGUUGCGUGCUGUCCGUCACGGCGUGCCUAUUGAAGAAUGAGCCAACGAGUUGAUGCAUACUGCGCGGCUAAGGGCGAGAGCCUGGAGCCAAAGGGAAACCGAGUGUUAAUAGCGCGUGUGGAACCCAUCACAAAAAUAAUGACUAAAACAAACUUACAAAUUUCUAGAAAAAAAUAAAGGAUGAGGAAGGAGACGUACAAUUGUACGAAUCCUGACGAAACUUUAUUUUUUACAGAAAUUUGAAUGUUUGGGUAGUCAAACAUAGUAAUAUGAUUUUGAUUAUGUGGUUAUUUUUGUGAUGGGUUCCAGUAGCUUGCAUCAGACCCGAAGCCAAGUGAUCUUGCCAUGAGCAGGGUGAAGUUUGUCGAAAGACAGAUGGAGGCCCGAACCGGUUAGCCGUUCAACACUAUCGGAUGACUUGUGGUAAGCAGUGAAAAGCUAAUCGAACUUGGUAAUAGCUGGUUCUCUCCGAAAUAGCUUUUGGGUUAGCGUCAGGUGUUCCCUCGAGGGGUAGAGCACUGGAUGGUAUGAAUAGGGGGAAACCCCGUCAAACCAAUCAAACUCCGAAUACUCGAGGCUAAAGCUUGGCAGUUAGACCGUGGGGGCUAAGCUCCAUUGGUCAAAAGGGGAAGAGCCCGGAUCUCCAGUUAAGGUCCCUAAAUCUAUGCUAAGUGCACUUAAGGUCGUGAAAUUUCUGUGACAAUUAGGAGGUUGGCUUAGAAGCAGCCAUCCUUUAAAGAAAGCGUAACAGCUCACUUAUUUAGAGAUUUUGCUCCGCAGAUAAUCGGGGCUAAGCAUAGUACCGAAGCUGAGGGCUCAGCCCUUUCGCAAGAAAGAGCUGAGCGGUAGGAGAGUAUUCCACUCUGCGUUGAAGGCAAAGGGGUGACCCAUGCUGGAGCGUGUGGAAGUAAGAAUGUUGGCACAAGUAACCACAAGGAAAGUUAAAACCUUUCCCGCCGAAAGACCAAGGUUUCCUUCCAAAUGACAAUCAGGGAAGGGUUAGUCGGGCCUAAGGGGAUGGCGAAAGCCGAACCCGAUGGACACAUGGUUAAUAUUCCAUGACUUGAAUUUGUUUCGAUGAGGUGACGGAGUGUUGUACACGAUGCGCAUUAUUGGAUUUGCGUUUGCUUUGCGAGGGCGUUUCCCAGGAAAAUCCGGGAAGCACAAACCCGAGCAAAGUGAAAAUAUGACCCUUCGGGGGAGUAGAUGUCGCGGAGCACGCUUCCAAGAAAAACUUCUAAGAUUAAACAAGUUUGAACCGUACCGAAAACCGACACAGGUAGUCAGGUCGAGUAGACCAAGGCGAACGAGUGAGAGGUCCCCAAGGAACUCGGCAAAAAAGCGGCCGUAAGUUAGCAAUAAGGCCUGCCCUUCGCAAGAAGGGCCGCAGCUAAAGUAUGCCUGCCGACUGUUUAUCAAAAACACAGCUCCCUGCGAACUCGCAAGAGGAUGUAUAGGGGGUGACACUUGACCAAUGCCAGAAGGUCAAAUAUUGGCGGUGUGUGCAGCACAUUGCAUGAGAUGCAAAUUUAAAAUGCGAAUCUCAAAAUGAAAAAUUGUCGUGUCGUCGUAGACGACUCAGUAAUUUUAAACUUUGAUUUUUAAACUUUGAUUUAUCUUUUGUAGCGUGCUGCAUAUGCUGACUUAUAUAAGCCCUGGUGAAUGUCGGCCGUAACUAUAACGGUCCUAAGGUAGAGUGUUUGUCGAAAGAUGAACACUCUACGACUGGGACUGUUAUGUGGCCCAAGUGGUAAAGUUUAGGAUAACAAAAAAGUUAAAUCGUUACACAAAAUGCUAUCUUGCUAUGCAGUAAUGUAUAGAUUAGUCAUAUGCGGUUAACAAGAGACCAACACCGCACAUCCCCCCAAUGCUAGGGAAAGGAUGAAGAUAGAGUCCUACUGUGCUUAAAGGAAUAGUAGAGCGAAAUUCCUUGUCUGGUAAGUUCAGACGUGCACGAAUAGUGUAACGAGUGGGCAACUGUCUCGAGGACUUGCUCGGUGAAAAUA